rnacentral:lncRNA from 1 species
CUUGUAUUGGAUAUACCAUUCCCAGUGGACUUUUGCUUGUGCAAUGUGACAGAUUGUCCUAUAUGUGUGGUUCCACUUUUCAUGUCCUUCCAGAGAACACAAAAAGUAUAUUUAUGUGCUAUGCCUCUGUCACUCAGCUUGUGAUAUAUAUUUCUGUCUCGAUUGCUGCAAUAGUGCUAUUAAGCAUUGUCUGGAGACCAUAUGAUCUCUUAUCCAC